AAUCAACGCUGGCGGCGUGCCUAAUACAUGCAAGUCGAACGCGAGAGGGGCUUCGGCCCCAAUUGAGUGGCAAACGGGUGAGUAACACGUGGGUGAUCUACCUUCGAGUGGGGGAUAACGUUUCGAAAGGAACGCUAAUACCGCAUAACAUCCUGUCUUUGGACAGAUGGAGAUCAAAGCCGGGACCGCAAGGCCUGGCGCUUGAAGAGGAGCCCGCGCCGAUUAGCUAGGGUGAGGUAACGGCUCA
rnacentral:rRNA from 1 species